rnacentral:rRNA from 1 species
AUACAGGGGGUGCGAGCGUUAAUCGGAAUUACUGGGCGUAAAGAGUACGUAGGCGGUUGCUUAAGUCAGAUGUGAAAGCCCCGGGCUCAACCUGGGAACUGCAUUUGAAACUGAGUGACUAGAGUUUAAGAGAGGGGAGUAGAAUUCCGGGUGUAGCGGUGAAAUGCGUAGAGAUCCGGAGGAAUACCAGUGGCGAAGGCGGCUCCCUGGCUUAAAACUGGCGCUGAGGUACGAAAGCGUGGGUAGCAAACAGAAUUAGAUACCCCAGUAGUCC